UUUCAAUUCCUCCCCCUCCCCUUCUGUCUCAGAAACUGAAUGCCUCUCUCCAAAUCCUUCAUUAUUCUGAUGUUGCUGCUUUACUAGAUCUUGCCGAUUGAUAAAUAAUAAACCUUGUUCACUUGUUUGAUGAUGUUAAUCGAGUCUUAUAAUUUUGAUUGAUUUAUAUCUCGAAUUUUACUUGAACGUUAACAGAUUGAUUGAUUUAUAUCUCGGUUUUUACUAAAACGUUAAUAGAUGUUGCAGAUCUUGAACGCUGAUUGUUUUCAGUGUAAUGUAUUUAGGGAUUAUGUUUUUUUAGACCUAUACUAGGUUAUUUUUUGUUCUUUCCUGCAUCUUCUUAUGAUCUUAUCUGUAAUCUUUAACAUGUAAAGUUCUGAUCUGUUUCCCGGUGUUGUUUCGACACUAAUUAGACUUUGAACUCUUUUCCUGGAUUUGGACCGUAAGCUAUUAAAUCUCUGUUUUUUCUCAAAAUGGAUCUGAUUGGUUUUCCUAAAUUUUUGUUGGAAUGAAUGAAUCAGGGUGAUUUACUCCAAAUUGGAUUUUAUGGUGAUUAGUAUGUUUGGAAAAGGCCUCAAGUUUUUCAUUUUUGUUGAUGAUGGACUAGAUCUGGAAUGAGUACUCUAUUUGAUCUCAAAAUCAGAGCUAAAAAACAGAUUAGUGAUGGAAGGUCACAACUGCAUGGAUCUCUAAAUAUUUUUCAUCUUGUGCUUUGAGAAUCAAAGAAGUUCCGUGGGUGCUUCAAAGUUGAAGUACUAUUCUUCAUCUUUUGUUUCUAAAAUUGUGGAGAUAGUAAUUUUUUUUAUAAAGAAAUAAUUAAAUUGUAUUUUUGUUUUUUUUUUCCCCUCUGUGUAAGGAAUAUAACUUUUCUAAGAAAUGAUGAAUAAAUUAUGUUAUAUAAUAUAA